CUCGGCUGCCGUGAAUCUCUCUCACCUCCCCGAAGCAAGCGAGCGGGGCAGCGCGCCAGGAAGGAUCGGAGGAGACGCCAUCAAUCAGCACUUGCACGCGCGCGGUCGGCCGCAGGUGGAGGAAGAAGAUGGGCCUGUGCUCGUGCUGCUGCCGGUGCCUGGAGCUGCUGUGCUCGGUCCUCCUCCCGCCCCUCGGCGUCUGCCUCCGCCACGGCUGCUGCUCCAUGGAGUUCUGGAUCAGUGUGCUGCUCACCAUCCUCGGCUACCUCCCCGGCGUCCUCUACGCCGUGUACGUCAUCUGCUCCGUCGACCCCCACCGCCACCGCGACAACGACGACUACGUCUACGUAGCAUGACAAGAUGGACCGGUCCCCGUGGUGCUCUGGCCCUUACAGCUUUAAAUUGGGUGCAAGAUAUACAAGGAAAUCUCUCUCUGAUCGGUAUUGAGCAAUAUUUUCAGUUGUGGGAAGUUCUUGGUGGUUUUCAGUUACAAAAUAAUAAUGACAAUCAUGUGUGGAGGUUUAGUAGUAAUGGCUUGUUUAGCUCCAAAUCAGCCUACAGAGCCUUCUUCAUUGGGGCUGAAACCUUUGAGCCUUGGAAAAGGGUUUGGAAGAGCUGGGAGCCCCUAAGUGUAAGGUCUUCAUUUGGCUUGCUAUCAACAAUAAAUGUUGGACAGCAGACAGGCUGCAAAAGAGAGGUCUAGAUUAUCCUGAAAAUUGUGCUCUAUGUGACCAAGACGAUGAAACUGCACAGGCAGCACAGCACCUUCUAACGAAUUGCGUCUUUGCAAGGCAUUUUUGGCAUAGUAUCUUAGCUCCAAUUGGGCUUUCUCUGGUUUCUAAGAGGAGGGAUCUUUGUUUUGCUGAAUGGUGGAGGAAAACAUCAGUUAAGAUUCAUAAAAGAAAAGGAAAGGGUUUUUAUAGUAUUGUCAUUCUUGGUGCUUGGAGCCUUUGGAAGCAUAGAAACAGGUGUUUUUUUUAUGGAGCUCGGUCCUAUCUGAUCUCUUUGGAGUCUGGGUUUAGAGAGGAGCUACAUCUUUGGAUUUUGGCAGGGGCCAAGAACUUGCGUUCUCUUUACUUGCGUUCUCUUUUUGAUCCGGGUUAGAGGAAGGUCCUUGAGAGGUGUUGGAGUGCAGGGUGUGUCAGGUGUGCGUAUGGGGGUGAGUCUGUGUGCGUU
rnacentral:misc_RNA from 1 species